AAGCUAGCACAAGAAACAAAAAGGAAGACGGUGAAGGAAACCUUACUAUGAAGUAAUUUUGGGGUCGGUGUAAAAUUGAGUUCUAAAGGGCUAUAUAUAGAGCAUUUCAAAUGAACAGGAGAGAUGACACAUACACUACACGUUACAGAGAGGAUUGGAAUUGACAGAAGAGAACACGAGAGAGUUUGAAGAUCUUGAAGUAGGGAUUGAAGUUGGAGCAAAAAUCUGCACUCUAUUUUGGGUUAUCUCUUACUCUAAUUUCAUGAAUCCUAUUUCAAUUUUAGUGUUCUUGUUCAUGGAUAGCUAAAUCAUUUUCUAGGGUUUAGGUGGAUCUUGCAAGUUUAGAGACCUUGUAAUAUUCUAGUUAUUAAUUUGAAUUUCAGUUUUUAUUCCAAUCAAGUUUGUUCUAUUGAUUUUAUUACAUGAUUAGGAAUGACCAAACCUUUGCAUGUUAACAAUCAGUUAAUUGAUCAGCGAUCGUACUGCAGUUAAUUGGUGGACCUAUAGGACAAUUGAGACUAGAAUUAUUGCAUGAUCAAACCUUAAUUUUAGUCUUCCAAUCAUUCAACCUUUUCGCGCUUUAUGCUUUUCUUGGUUUCAACUCUUUGAAUGACCAAACAAAGUGUUAAUUUAAGAAAAAGAAUAUUAAUCACGAAUGACCAAACGGAUUAAUAGUUUUAGUAAAGGGAUUGGUGAUGAAUAAAAAUAAAGGAAUUGAAUUAGAACUAGACAUUAGGGAAUCGAAACUUGCAAGUGAAACCGUGACCCUAGACCUCUCUCUAUUGAUUUACAUCUUCGCACUUUUAUCCUUCUUCGUCGUUACUUUUUACUUGGUUACCGAAACUAUUCUACUACUUGUUCGUCUAAAUAAUAAAUUAAUCUUAAUUAGUUUAGUACUUGCUAAUUAAUCCCUGUGGAUACGAUAAUCUUUUAUACUACUUCUGCGAUAGAGUACACUUGCUCUAAGUGUGUUUUUAG
rnacentral:lncRNA from 1 species